AUACUUACCUGGCUUAGGGGACACCGUGAUCAUGCAGGCGGUUCCCCCAGGGCGAGGCUGCUAAAUUGCACUGCGGAGUGGUUGACCCUUGCGAAUAAUUUUAAUUUUUAUCAAUAAAAAAAUCAUGAUAAAAAAUGUAUACCCGAAUAAUUAUUUUCUUUAUAGCUCGAAUAGAACUUAAAAUUUAUAUUUUUAUAAUAAGGAACUUCGUUCGUUCCUAU
rnacentral:snRNA from 9 species